rnacentral:rRNA from 1 species
GACGAACGCUGGCGGCGUGCUUAACACAUGCAAGUCGAGCGGUAAGGCCCUUUCGGGGGUACACGAGCGGCGAACGGGUGAGUAACACGUGGGUGACCUGCCCUCAGCUCUGGGAUAAGCCUGGGGAACCGGGUCUAAUACUGGAUAUGACUCCAUGACGCAUGUUGUGGGGUGGAAAGCCUUGUGCGGCUGAGGAUGGGCCCGCGGCCUAUCAGCUUGUUGGUGGGGUGANGGCCUACCAAGGCGACGACGGGUAGCCGGCCUG